GCUUAUGGCCAUACCACCCUGAACACGGCCGAUCUCGGAAGCAAAGCAGGGUCGGACCUGGUUAGUACUUGGAUGGGGGACCGCCUGGGAAUACCAGGUGCUGUAAGCU
ensembl:rRNA 5S_rRNA 5S ribosomal RNA